UACGAGCGAGCUUUGUGGUCGGCUAUGACUAGCUCCAGCGGUAAUUACUGACCAUCCAUUUACCAGAAGAACGUUGGCUGGUUUUAUCCCAUCGCGUGUAUCGAACUGACGGCUGUACAGAUGACGCUGACCACCUAGCGCGCAUGUCUGCGUACUAACUGUGUGUAUGCCUCCUUGAUAUGGGUCGGAACCAAUGGAUGACGAGGAAAGAAAGCUGUCAGAGCGAGCGGCGUUGUGAACUAUGAAUCACUUGAAAAAGGACUCAUGAAGUUCGGAUCGCUGUGCAGGUGAAGCUGACUGUUCGAGGGUGGAGGUUAAGAUUGACGACUGGAAAGUACGCAGAUGAGAUCCGGUCUGCUGGCUGCAAUGAAGCUGCAAAAUUAGAGAGCCUACGAGCGGCUUCUGAUGAUCAGACUACUCGGGGGGCGACAUUGGCCCGACUGAGGGGGAAGGAGAACCAUCCUCCCGGCUUUGUGCACCAGGAGCGGCCCCGUGAUUGAUGGAGCUGCUAAGGUGUGUGUGCGUGACUGUUUCUCCCCGUGUAUGUCGGCUGCCUGAGUGGCUUGUGUUCCUGAUUGCUCAACUGAGAUUGUCAAGCCAUCUACGGUCAAUGGCUGGGAUUGCGGUUGUUGUGGAUGCUGGACCUACUAAUGAAGCCAUUCGUGUGUUCCUGCAGCGUUGUUACGCUUCCACCUGGUUCACCAGAUGAUAAGCGCCGAUCUAGACACCUGAUGACUGCACCAUUUUGGAGCUGCAGCGCUCGGACGCUCUGCCGUCUGUGUGGAUGGGCUGCUUGAAUGGAUCUGGAGUAGAAGGGGCAGUUGGGUGGGCAGCACGGCUUUUUUUCUUUUCUUUUUACCAGAAAAGAGGAAUUGUAAAUAAAAGAUUGCCCAUAA